rnacentral:rRNA from 1 species
AUUGAACGCUGGCGGCAGGCUUAACACAUGCAAGUCGAGCGGAGAUGAGGUGCUUGCACCUUAUCUUAGCGGCGGACGGGUGAGUAAUGCUUAGGAAUCUGCCUAUUAGUGGGGGACAACAUUCCGAAAGGAAUGCUAAUACCGCAUACGUCCUACGGGAGAAAGCAGGGGAUCUUCGGACCUUGCGCUAAUAGAUGAGCCUAAGUCGGAUUAGCUAGUUGGUGGGGUAAAGGCCUACCAAGGCGACGAUCUGUAGCGGGUCUGAGAGGAUGAUCCGCCACACUGGGACUGAGACACGGCCCAGACUCCUACGGGAGGCAGCAGUGGGGAAUAUUGGACAAUGGGGGGAACCCUGAUCCAGCCAUGCCGCGUGUGAAGAAGGCCUUAUGGUUGUAAAGCAAUUUAAGCGAGGAGGAGGCUACUGAGACUAAUACUCUUGGAUAGUGGACGUUACUCGCAGAAUAAGCACCGGCUAACUCUGUGCCAGCCGCCGCCGUAACAC